rnacentral:rRNA from 16 species
CCAGCAGCCGCGGUAAUACGGAGGAUCCAAGCGUUAUCCGGAAUCAUUGGGUUUAAAGGGUCCGCAGGCGGUUGUUUAAGUCAGAGGUGAAAGUUUGCAGCUCAACUGUAAAAUUGCCUUUGAUACUGAAUAACUUGAGUUAUAAUGAAGUGGUUAGAAUAUGUAGUGUAGCGGUGAAAUGCAUAGCUAUUACAUAGAAUACCGAUUGCGCAGGCAGAUCACUAAU